rnacentral:misc_RNA from 1 species
AAGUCGUAACAAGGUUUCCGUAGGUGAACCUGCGGAAGGAUCAUUAAAAGAGUUAGGGUCCAUCAACGUGGCCCAAUCCUCCAACCCUCUGUUGGUUAAAAGCUACCCUUGUUGCUUUGGCGGGACCGUUCGGUCUCCGAGGCGUUAACCUUCGGGUUGGCGAGCGCCCGCCAGAGUCCAACCAAACUCUUGUAUUAAACCUAGUCGUCUGAGUAUAAAAUUUUAAUUAAAUUAAAA